rnacentral:antisense_RNA from 1 species
AAAAACUAGCAGAGAACCCAGCCAAGUUGUGACUGGAGACUCCUGACUUAUGGACAAUAAGAGAGGAAAUGUCUUUUGAAAGCUUCACUGACUCCAAGCAGAUUUCUUCCAACAGUUUCUUGCUUCUUGUGAUGUUAGAAGAGAAAUUAUGCUCCUCUGAGCAGCUGAUGGAGGAUAUCAUCAACAUGGAAGUACUUCUUUGUGAGAGAACUGUCAGCUUACCUUUAUAUUAAUAGAUAUUACCUUUGGACUGUAUCUGUGGGAAAAGAAAAGCUAUUUCAGUCCAAGCGAUUCUCCUGUGUCAGCCUCCCAACUAGCUGGGAUUACAGGUCUCCUUCUGAAGAGGGUGAAAGUCCCUACCCCAAAAUAUGGUCAAGACCUCAUAGCAACACCAAGAAAUCCAGGGAAGAUUUAUUUUCUCACCUCUGUGUUGGCUCAAGAAGAAAAGAAUAGAUUUCAAUGGCAGCUAGUAUAGUAUUAUCUAGAAAUAUAAUUUGUAAAUUUUAAAAAAAUACAAUCCAAUAUUACACAUUGG